AAAAAAAAAAGAGAUCUGAAUAUUUGAGAGAGCAAACCGUGAGAGAGAAGGGAGAAAGAAGAAGAAGAAGAGAAAAGAGGGAAAUUAGAAGGGAAAUAGAAAGGAGUUGAAGGAAAUAAGUUUAAAGGCUUAUAGCUUGAUAGCAGGUCAUUUUGUUGAACCUUCCAAACCUGCUUUUUGGUUGUAAUUUGUACCUUCCUUUUAUGUCAAAUUAGUGCUCCAAAACUCUGCAUUAUAUUAACUCUUGUAUUAAGACAAUUCAAUUAUAUUAUGAAGUUGAUUUUGUUAUUAAUGUUGCGUUGAACUCUGAUUGAGUUAGGAUAAGUUUGUGUGUAUGUUUGGGUUCGCAUAGGUAUGGAACCUUUGAGGGGAACCUUGCCUAUGUGCCGGUCAUGGAUCCGGGAUUCGGGUCGUGACCCUUAUCAACUUAUAAUAGUAAUCGUUUUAUACUUACAGGUGGUGAUUAUCGACAGGAUAUGCAGUUUUUAAGCAUGUGUCACUCAUGGUACAUCCAUAUUACAUUUCUUCCUUAGCUUGCAACAAGCAUUGAAGUCUCAUUUUACAAUUAAAUUGUGGUAAACAAUGGUGGCUGGUUUGCACAGAUGAUUGGGAACAGUUUCUGCUUGUGAAAGAGCUCUUGGCCUAAACCUGUGAUGAGUCUGCUCUCAAUCCACUACCUCAAUGGUUAACGCUGAAUUUUCUCCUUAGAGCACAUUAAAAGGUUAAAUUAAAACAAACAAUAGGAUCAAUUUAUAGACCACAAAAAAUUGUUUUUGUUUAUGUAAGAAAUUGAUUGACAAAAUACCUAUACAAAUAUCAUCUCUUUUUUUCCGACAGGACCAACUGUUAAUGUUACUGUGCUGUAAGGCUAGUUGGCUAGAGUUAGCUUAACGUUAGCUAGAGUUGAAUGUGUGUUAAGUGUAUUAUUUUUUCCAAGUGGUAGGUUACAUGGAGCUGAAAUUAUUGAGAGAAGGGCAGUGGGUAGCAGUCGAAAGUGAGCAGAAACCGGGGCAGUAACAGAGAAGAAGAAACAGCAGCAGUUUGUGUGUGUCUUCCUCCAUUGUAAGCCCUUCCUUGUGUGAGUUUUGUACCAGAAAAUUACAGCAAUGAUAUGCUACGUCGAAGUGUGUUUUGUGAGUGUUAUUAGCUUGACAAUGCUACUUCAUGCACUUCCAGAGAAAUUUCAGGGUCUAUAGAGGCCCUGACAGAAGUGAAAUUUGGUUGUCUAGGCAAUGGAAUGUUUGUUGUGCAGCUCUCCAGCAUUACCACAACUGAUGCCAUGCUUGGUCUAUGAAGUGCAGAAUCUUGCACACACAACAUGCCGAUUUGUAUGCAUCUCAGCACUUCGUUUUCAUCACAUGAAUCUCGGAUGGAAGGAUCAACUAUCUCCAUUGUCUUACCUUCAUUCCAAAGAUCCCAUGCCUGCAAUCAGUCGGAAAUUGGAUCAGGUGAGUGAAAAAAUAGCAGUAAAAAACGUUGUGUUGUAUCUCAAACCAGAGCCUAAAUUGGUGACAUUUUGCAUGUACUUACAUAAGCAAUGAGGAUCAUGCGUUCUGUUUGACGGAAGCUAGUAUUCCUUCGGCCACUCACAAUCUCUAGGAGUAGUACUCCAAAGCUAUAAACAUCAGACUUCACUGAAAAUAGGCCUUCCAUUGCAUAUUCAGGUGCCAUAUAACCACUGCAAGAUACAAGUGACAGUCAGAAAAAUCAUAUUGUUGAUUAGAGUUUAACACGAGCAAUCUCAUAGAUAUCAAACUUACUAUGUUCCUACAACUCGGUUUGUGUUUAUUUCACUUUGGUUUCCCCCAAAUAUUCUGGCCAUGCCGAAGUCGGAAAUCUUUGGGUUCAUUUCUUCAUCCAACAAAAUGUUACUAGCCUUUAGGUCCCGAUGAAUGAUUCUUAGUCUUGAAUCCCUAUGGAGAUAAAGAAGACCUCUGGCAAUCCCCUCAAUAAUUGCGAAACGUUUACUCCAGUCUAAUAGAGCUUGCUUCUCGGGAUC